rnacentral:lncRNA from 1 species
CGGAGCAGCGUGUCGGGAAUCCGGUUGCAGCUGGGGCAGAGGUCUGUGGGCAGCCGGAAGCUGCUGUAGGUGCAUCUUCCGAGGCAGCCCAGCAUGAUGGAGACUCUGGGCCCAGGGAUCUGUCCAGCUGGGGCCAAGGACCUGGUGUGCCCCUCUCGGGAUUCAUGGCAAGUCUCAGCAGUCCUCUGCCUCCCUGCGGGCGUCCCCGUUCACUGAUUGCUGAAUUGGUUUCAGGGGCUCAUUUUUAUGGACUCGAUGAAAAAGACCACUUUUGGAGCCACGCUCAGCAGGCCUGUAAUCCCAGCCACUUAGGAGGUUGAGGCAGGAGGAUCACAGGUUCAAGACCAACCUCAGCAACUUAAGGAGGCCCUAAGCAAAUUAGACCUGGCAGAAACAAAAAGGGCCAGGGGUGUGGCUCAGUGGUAAAGCACUUCUGUGUUCAGUCCUCCCCACCCAACUGAAAAAUAAUUAAAAAAAGGGGACCACUGUUAUGCUGUACAUGUUCAUCUUAACUGUUGUGUUAGGCUGAUUUUUGCAUAUUAGUGGUUACUCAGAGGUCAUGCAGUGUCUUUUGUUCUGAUAUUAUUUCCUUGGGUUUUUCUUGUAGAUGGAACACAUCCCGACCUGGGCUUGCUGCUCAUUUAAUGAGUAACUGAGUCUUUUUCACAUUUCGCAGAGGUACCCAUGUCCAGGAAGGGAAAGCCCAAGUCUGUUGCUGAUCAAAACCUGCUGUAUGCACAUCUUCCAUGUCCUUCCAGAGCAAAGAGUACUCUUUUGUCUUUCUCAUAGAUUAUUGCCUGCUAUUCUUUUCCUGAGGUGUCUUGUCUUCUUUGGGCCACAGGAAAAUGUUGAACUGGCUAGUGUGACGUGUUAAAUAAUCAUGUUUACUAACAUUUUUGUUUCGAAUAAGUAUACUGUGGAAAACUGAUUCAUGAGACAUACCUUAAUGUAAUUGCAUACUUUUAGCACGUUAAGUACAAUAUUUAGUAUAAUUGUAAAAAAGUAUGAUUUCUGAAUAAAUGUUAACUGUUAUACAUGUGAAAUAUCAAA